AUGGCCUCUUCUCCCACCACCAACCUCACCCCCUGUGAUCCCUCGACAGCCACCAACGCCCCCACCCCUCCCCUCCGUCCUAGCUCCCCUGCAGAUCCAGAUCCAGUGCUGCUGGCUGCCGGUGCUGAGAAUGGAGAUGGGGACUCUCUCGCGCGCUCCGCAGAUUGCCCUGGGAUCCUCCCUCCGCUCAAGCUGCCACCACCUCCAGAUCGGCUUCCUCCGAAUUUCACGCCGCUGGUAGUGACCGAUGCUUCACAGGCACCAACGGAGAAGGGGUGGGUGGAGGUUGAGGGCCAGCAUCGCCGGAGGCUGGAGAAGCUGUCUGCCCCGCCCCGCAAGAAGGACACUGACCGCUCCCUUGCUUUCAAGCGGAGAGCUUAUGGGCUCUGGUUCCGUUGCUUGGCGGAGGACCACUUCGUCGCCGACUGUCGUGGGCCUGUCACCUGCCUGGGUUGCGGCCGCUCUGGGCAUCGUGAGCGCGGCUGUCCGGGCCGCCUCCCUACCGGCAAUGGUCAUCUCCGCGGCUCCCUAUCGCCGCCGGCUGCUACUCGCUUCCAACACCCGUCCCCAGCUCCUUCACCGCAGUUGCGGCAGCGCUCGUGGGCAGCAGUUGUUGCCGCCCCGACUGGGCUCGUUCAAGGGGCCCCUUGUAGCAACUCCGGCACCCCCUGGUCGGGUCAGUCCGGCCCUGACGAGUCGGCCUUGGCUGUUGAUCUGGGGCUGCUGCAACCCCUCUUUGCAGCUCAGACCGAGGCGUUGCGCGCCGAGUUGCAGGCUCUGGUUACCGCUCGUGUGGAGGAUGUCGUUCAACCCCUCCGUGACAUGGCGGUUGCUCUGCACGGUUGGGCGGCCCAGGUCUCGAACCUCUUGGAGCGGCUGGAGGCUAUCAGUGGCAAAGUAGUGGGGAACAGUGGGGGAUCUUCCUCCUUGGCGCCUUUGGGUUCGCCUCCUCCCUGGUGCGAGCAUGAGGAGCCACCGGCGCCUCUUGUUGUUGCCUAUGGCAAGGAUGUCAGUCAGGCGGGAGUGGCCGGGUGCUCGUCUGAGGUGCUGGCAACUGUGGCGCUGCCUGCAGAUGUUCUUCCUACGUUGGAUGUCGUUCUGCACAAGACGGUGAUUCUAGGAGAGGAGGAGCAAGCUAAGGUGGCUGAGAUAGUCAUAGCGAGCAAUGAUAUGGAGCAGAUUGAGGUGGCCUUGCCUGAUGGUUUGGUUGGAGAGGUGCCUCCCUUCGUCCCCUCUUCAGUGAAGCUUGCUUCAGGGGGCACUACCAAUAUGAUGUCUUCUGGGUCCGAGGAACCACUUGGUGAUAUUGGCGUGCCAUCAACUACCUUGUUGGAUGAGUUCCUAAACAGUUUCAGUUGCGCAGCACCGCGGUCCUUGCUCAAGGAACCAAUUCAUGUGCAGAUUGAAGGGGCAUCUUCUUGUUCCGAGAGGUGUAGUGGACGUUUGGAUAAGAAGAAUAGAAACAACAACAUUCCUACUGCCAAACGCGUUGAAUAUAGGUUGGCGGAGGCUUAUGGGGAACUACCGAAGGGGAUGAAAUCUAAGAAAGGCUCCGAAGAGGAUGUGCAAGAGAAGAUGAACUCUUAUCUACGGAUGUACAAGAAACCCCUACGCCGACAGCGACCCAGGCAAUUCGUGCAUUGGUGGAGGCCAAUGGUUGAUCUCAUUUUUCAAAAGGUUAGGUGCGAGUUCACAUCGAGUUGCAGGCAUGUUCUUCAGGUUGCAGUGGUUGUCUUGGUCGGGUAUGUUGUGUUGACCAUGGUCUUGGGCCUUAGCACCCUUGUAUCUGGCUCGGACGACGUCCCUUGA
rnacentral:rRNA from 1 species